AACGUAGGAGGCAAGCGUUAUCCGGAGUUACUGGGCGUAAAGCGUGCGUAGGUGGUUUUCUAAGUUCGGUGUGAAAGCGCCCGGCUCAACCGGGCGAGGACAUUGAAGACUGGGGAACUAGAGGGUGGUAGAGGGGCGUAGAAUUCCGGGUGUAGCGGUGAAAUGUGUAGAGAUCCGGAGGAAUACCAGUGGUGCAGACGGCGCCCUGGGCCAACCCUGACACUGAGGCACGAAAGCGUGGGGAGCAAACAGG
rnacentral:rRNA from 1 species